rnacentral:rRNA from 1 species
CCUGCGGACCCCCCUCCCGGCCCUGCCCUCACGGGCGGAGCGCCCGCCGGAGGAUACCAAACUCUAUUUUAACGACGUUUCUUCUGAGUGGCACAAGCAAAUAAUUAAAACUUUCAACAACGGAUCUCUUGGUUCUGGCAUCGAUGAAGAACGCAGCGAAAUGCGAUAAGUAAUGUGAAUUGCAGAAUUCAGUGAAUCAUCGAAUCUUUGAACGCACAUUGCGCCCGCCAGCAUUCUGGCGGGCAUGCCUGUUCGAGCGUCAUUUCAACCCUCAAGCUCUGCUUGGUGUUGGGGCCCUACGGUUGACGUAGGCCCUUAAAGGUAGUGGCGGACCCUCUCGGAGCCUCCUUUGCGUAGUAACUAACGUCUCGCACUGGGAUUCGGAGGGACUCUUGCCGUAAAACCCCCAAAUUUUUAAAGGUUGACCUCGGAUCAGGUAGGAAUACCCGCUGAACUUAAGCAUAUCAAUAG